GCCGCGGUGGUGAAAUUGGUAGACACGCACGGUUCAGGGCUGUGUGCCUUUCAGGCAUGAGAGUUCAAAUCUCUCCCGCGGCACCC
rnacentral:tRNA from 1 species